ACUUUUUCCAACACAUGUUAAAUUCAUUGUUCAUGGCUUUUCUGGAUGCUACUCACGGAAACCAUACUUGCUGCCACGUGCCCUCUGAUCCGUGAAUGAUGGUAGCAUAGGUCACCGUUCAGAUUUACUUGCACAGAAGAGAUAGCUUAUAAAUCUCUUCUUCUAUCUCCAUGUAAUUCACUUUUGGAAUAUAUGAGAAUUUCUNCUGAUGCANUUCCAGCUAUUUUCUCNGCACCGAAAGUCACUCCACCAUGAGCUUCCCCUUUCUCUCCUCUAGCUUCCUUCCAGGGAUGGAAGGCGGUCUGAGCUAGAUAUCACAUCCACCGAAAGCUCUUCCUCCACCUAAAUCAACCACUAGAUCCACUGAACCACGUUUCUUNCGCUGCUAGUUGCAUUUAGUGAGCAUACUUCACCUCUACUCAUGGAUUCAUCACCCAUUCGGCUGCUUCAAUAUCUCCCAUGGCUGGAACGUACUCUAUCAGGUGGUAUUCAGAGCCUAGGUUGCUCACGGUGCUCUCUGGUUGUUCCAGCUAAGUGUCUCUUUUCAUUCCAUUUUGUCAAAUUUUNUUUCUGCGUGUUUCUUGAUUCUGGUUAUUGUUCCAUUCAAUUUUUCGUGUUAUAGGUUCUGUUGCGUCUUUUGUUUGUGUGCCAGCUUUUAUUUGUUUUUGAUUCAUCAUUUUAUUCGGCCAGAUCUUUGAGUUUGAGUCUUUUAUUUUCAAAUCCUGUUCGGUUUGUCUAAGUCAUGUUACUGNUUUAAUUUUGUCAAAUUCUGAAGUUGGAUCUCUGCCUGGAUAAAUCUGUGUUACUUGAAUGGUUAUUNAAGAGCUGCACAUUAUAAGAGCAAUGAUUCNAAAGAGCUCAAGUGUAGCCUGAGUCCAUCAAAGUGCAGUACCGAUUAAUGCAGAAGUGGAAUCUGUUUCAAAAUCUGGUUUCAGUUUCAUUUAAUUUGUACCGUGUGGAAAAUCGAAUUCUGGAUGUGUUGAAUUGUUGCGAUAGUGUGAUAGGCAUGCCAUAUGAAUAGUGAUUUGUCUAAGACAAUCAUUCAUGAUGCACCACACUGCAGAUACAAAAUUCACUAAUUCAAGCAGACAGAGCCGAGCUGCAAUUUCUUUGUGUGUCUUUUGUCUAUGAUUUUGCAAUUUUUAAAUCUGUCCAGCUUAGACUUCGUAUCUGGACCUCUUUAAAACCAAUUCUGGAGUCUUUUUCAAGUUUAAAUUGCUGUCCUAGAGUCACAAAAAUUGUUUCCAGUUCAAUUUGAAUCCUCUGUUGAAUUUUGGUUGGUGAUUUGGCUUAAUUUUGGUGCUUAAGAGCAACUAAACUAGUGAAAAUCUGAGUUACAAGUUUGUAGCCUCUGCUGGCUGUUGAAACAAGUCAUAAUUGGUAAAAUAAAGUUGCUCAAAUCAUAAAAUUGAGUGUUCAAACUGGUUUGUGUAAAUUUGCCAUUUCAACCACCAAACUUCAACAUGUUCUUUGGGUUAAGUUGCAGAAAAUUCUGUAUAACUGUGUGGCUGUGUUAAUGCAUCGAAUUUCAUCAAUAAUUGGUAGCAAAAGCUUGGUUCAGUUGAGUUAAAAGAAGUGCACAUUUCGAAUUCUGUUAAGAAUUGCACUGUAAAAAGCUAGUAGAACCAGUACGGCAUACAUACUGUCAAAUUCUGAUGCACAUUUUCAGCUACUCUCUUAGGCAUUUUGUCAAACACUUUUGCCUAGUUUAAAACUGGUUUCGAUUUUGCAAAAGCUGCAACUUAUAAUUGUUUCUUGCUUUCUUAAUCCACUCUAGAGCCUUUCCUAAGAUCAUUUUGAGUGCCACCCGUUAUUGCUAGCCUUUAAUUGCUUGAGUUUUAUCUGUUUGAAAAUUCUGCACAUAAAUUGUUUGAUAAAAUCACAGUUGUGCAUUCUGGGUUUGCAAUUUUCUGGCAGCAGCAAAGUUGUUUUCUGCUCUUGAAAUUGAUUGAUGGUGGUUCCUUUGAGCUCUUUGUUGGGUGCAGAAUCAUCUCAGGUGGUACUACAUCACUGGUAGCCUCCUAGGAAGUGGAGAGUAAGUGGAAAACUCAAGUUUGGAAGCUGAUUUCGGUGCAGCAGGGUUCCUUAUCUUGGACUGCAAUUUUUGCUUGCUGUCAUAGCAUAAGUCUUCACACCAGCAGCUAUGAGAUUAGUGUGAAUCACUCCAGAUUCAUUUCCUUGAGAUGAACAUUGAACUACAAAAGGCACAAACACCCNNCANCUGAGAGUUUUGAAUUUACUGCAUAUUAGCAGUCCUUUCUUUAUUGAGAAUCCAGAGCUGCAAUGUCCAAAGCCUUUUCUUCUGAUUUGUUUUCCAGAUUUAAUUUGGCUUGACCAAGGGGUAGCAAGUUGUGACUGUUGAAUCAAUGCUCAUCUGCCGCAGUUGAAACUGGAUGAACACCAUCUUUGAUUAUCAACAUUGUCCAAGAAUCAGUGACUGUUUGACCAAAGUGGUUUAAACCACAAGCUGCAUUACUUCGAUUUUGCAGAGAAUAUUGUUAUGGACAAAUUGAAAGUAAUGCAAUCUUGUCAAGUAUAGUUAAAAUUUGGUUUGAUUAGAAUUGAAAAGGCUUGAACAACAGAUUGCAAUUUGAGAAGCAAAUUGGAUCCAUCUUCCACAACAAUUACAGUCAAACCGAGAAAGGAAGAGUGGAAUCCAAAAGCUAGGAGAUUCCAAAGUUGUCCAAAGCUGUCCAACAAUUGGAUUUAAAUGAAAUCAGAACGUGACAGUAGCAAUUGUUAGCUUUCUUUUGUAAUUGUUUUGUUCAUUUUGGUUAGGUUUUCUGUGUUAGAUUUCUUUAAAGUGUAAAAGGCCAUUCCAAGUCCAAGUGUUUUUGGAAGA